UUCUGCUUCCAGAGUAGUUUGUGUGAUUUCUUCUGCGGAAAGUGACGACAGGAAGUGUGUCUUUCUUUUGAACUUCAGAGACGUGACUAUCAUGGGCGGACCCCUGAGGAUGCUUAUCAGAGGAUUAUUAUCAUUACUUUUAGACUGGAACGGGUCCCGCAGAUAUUCAGCUAUAAUCGGUAUUUGUAAUCUCCAGUUGAGGAGAGAUUUACUUCUGGAAAAUCACUAUCAUUAUUCCAACAUCAAAGCAGAUUCGGCUCAGAAUUGCCAAUGAGCACAUGUUUCUCUGGACUCCUCCUUUGCCCUCUUCCACUGCCCCUUCCCUAAGCAACCUUUGCUCGACCUGGCACACAGUGGAGCCACUGGGAAAAAUUUAC
rnacentral:lncRNA from 1 species